rnacentral:rRNA from 1 species
CAGUAGCCGCGGGAAUACGGAGGGGGCUAGCGUUGUUCGGAAUUACUGGGCGUAAAGCGCACGUAGGCGGCUUGGUAAGUUAGAGGUGAAAGCCUGGAGCUCAACUCCAGAGUUGCCUUUAAGACUGCCGAGCUAGCAGGUGAGAGAGGUAAGUGGAAUUCCGAGUGUAGAGGUGAAAUUCGUAGAUAUUCGGAAGAACACCAGUGGCGAAGGCGGCUUACUGGCUCAUACUGGACGCUGAGGUGCGAAAGCGUGGGGAGCAAACAGGAUUAGAUACCCCAGUAGUCCCUGUCUCUUAUAC